rnacentral:lncRNA from 1 species
GAUUUUAAAUCUCUUAAUCGAAAUAGUUUAUUGUAGCUUAGCUGGUCUUUGGACUUAACUUACCGUGACCUGAAUCAGAGCAGAAGGUAGAGAAGCUGAAGAUCUGAGAACAACACUUUUUCUUUCUAAGAAAAAAGGCUUGGAGAGCGCCUCCCCUUUACAUUAACAACUUAUUUCGACGUGUCCACAUCUCAUCCUUCGAAUUAACGAGUCAUGUGCUCAACCUAGAUGGUCUUGAAACUCGAGCACUCCCUGUAAGAUGAACCAGAGCAGGAAACUAGAUAAGAUCAACCUGAAGACAACUUUGCUGGCCUUUGGACUUAACUUCCCGUAACCUGAAUCUGAGCAGAAGGUAGAGAAGCUGAAGAUCUGAGAACACUACGCCUUUUCUUUGUAAGAUGUAUGUACUUAAACUGGGCAGGAUUCAUGGUGUCAGUAUAAUGAGAUCAUUAAUAGUAAGGAUACUAAAACUAGUA